GACGAACGCUGGCGGCGUGCUUAACACAUGCGAGUCGAACGGUAAGGCCCUUUCGGGGGUACACGAGUGGCGAACGGGUGAGUAACACGUGGGUGAUCUGCCCUGCACUUUGGGAUAAGCCUGGGAAACUGGGUCUAAUACCGGAUAGGACUACGCGAUGCAUGUCGUGUGGUGGAAAGCUUUUGCGGUGUGGGAUGGGCCCGCGGCCUAUCAGCUUGUUGGUGGGGUGAUGGCCUACCAAGGCGACGACGGGUAGCCGGCCUGAGAGGGUGUCCGGCCACACUGGGACUGAGAUACGGCCCAGACUCCUACGGGAGGCAGCAGUGGGGAAUAUUGCACAAUGGGCGCAAGCCUGAUGCAGCGACGCCGCGUGGGGGAUGACGGCCUUCGGGUUGUAAACCCCUUUCAGCACAGACGAAGCGUAAGUGACGGUAUGUGCAGAAGAAGCACCGGCCAACUACGUG
rnacentral:rRNA from 1 species